rnacentral:rRNA from 1 species
AACGAACGCUGGCGGCAGGCUUAACACAUGCAAGUCGAACGGGUGUAGCAAUACAUCAGUGGCAGACGGGUGAGUAACACGUGGGAACCUUCCUAGAGGUACGUAACAACGCAGGGAAACUUGUGCUAAUACCGUAUACGCUCUUGCGAGGAAAGAUUUAUCGCCUUUAGACGGGCCCGCGUAGGAUUAGGUAGUUGGUGAGGUAACGGCUCACCAAGCCUACGAUCCUUAGCUGAUCUGAGAGGAUGAUCAGCCACACUGGGACUGAGACACGGCCCAGACUCCUACGGGAGGCAGCAGUGGGGAAUCUUGGACAAUGGGCGCAAGCCUGAUCCAGCCAUGCCGCGUGAGUGAAGAAGGCCUUCGGGUUGUAAAGCUCUUUUGUCAGGGACGAUAAUGACUGUACCGGGAGAAUAAGCCCCGGCUAACUUCGUGCCAGCCGCCGCCGUAA